UGCACAAAUGAUGAUCACCAAGGGACUUAAUACUGAUAUCUUUGAUGUCUUACACUUUCUGAUGUGU